AUUGAACGCUGGCGGCAUGCUUUACACAUGCAAGUCGAGCGGCAGCGCGGGGGGCAACCCUGGCGGCGAGCGGCGAACGGGUGAGUAAUGCAUCGGAACGUACCCUGGAGUGGGGGAUAACGCCGCGAAAGCGGCGCUAAUACCGCAUAUUCUGUGAGCAGGAAAGCAGGGGGAUCUUCGGACCUUGCGCUUUUGGAGCGGCCGAUGUCGGAUUAGCUAGUUGGUGGGGUAAAGGCCCACCAAGGCGACGAUCCGUAGCGGGUCUGAGAGGAUGAUCCGCCACACUGGAACUGAGACACGGUCCAGACUCCUACGGGAGGCAGCAGUGGGGAAUUUUGGACAAUGGGCGCAAGCCUGAUCCAGCCAUGCCGCGUGAGUGAAGAAGGCCUCGGGUUGUAAAGCUCUUCGUGGGAGAAUGCUGGUAAUACCCUGAGUAGAU
rnacentral:rRNA from 1 species